UACGAAGGGGGCUAGCGUUGUUCGGAAUUACUGGGCGUAAAGCGCACGUAGGCGGAUAUUUAAGUCAGGGGUGAAAUCCCAGAGCUCAACUCUGGAACUGCCUUUGAUACUGGGUAUCUCGAGUAUGGAAGAGGUGAGUGGAAUUCCGAGUGUAGAGGUGAAAUUCGUAGAUAUUCGGAAGAACACCAGUGGCGAAGGCGACUCACUGGACAUGUAUUGACGCUGAGGUGCGAAAGCGUGGGGAGCAAACAGG
rnacentral:rRNA from 1 species